CUCAUCGCUCGUGUAUUCUUCACUCGCGCGCCACCGUCGAGUUCCUCUCUCUCUCUCUCUCUCUCUCUCUCUCACUCUCUCUCUCAGUCGGUCCCGGAAGCGUAGUUUUAACCUUUUCCUCUGUUGUAUUUUUACCGUCGAACGUUACGGCCGCGUUCGGUAGAUCGCUCAGCAGACAUCCCCCUACAUCCACAGAUGUCCGACGCGCAUUGUAAGUUUUAUGGUUUUCAAAACAAAUUGACAAUUAUUAACAAUAUUUACAGUUGUAUUACUAAACAUAAGCUCUAAAUGAUUUUGAUUGUUGCUCAGAAAGCCUGAUACAUAGUUUAAAAUGGCUUUCGAGCAAUAAUCAUGACCAAGAAAGAGUGUAUUUCUACGUAAAAUGUAAUAUGCUUUCUGACUUCUGAUCACCAAAUAUAAUAAAAGUGUUUUCAACAUGUAUUUAAUAAAAUAUAUAAUAAAUUAUCAACUCAAAAGAAAUAUUAUAGAUAAAAUGUUGUUUUAUUUUUGUUACAAUGAACACAAAUCGGAUAAAUUUGUUAUUGCUCAUCUAUUCACCUAUUUAAUCAUUAUUAACAAUUGGUAUUUUCAAAUAAGGCCAUUCAUUGACUAUAAUGUACAUACGAUUUCCAACAGAAGUAUCGAAUCAUUACCAAAUAAAAAGUAAUUUUUUGGAGAUGGAUUCUAGUUCACAAUUUGACGAAGUCAUUUUUUAAGUCAACCAGUGUUGGUUUGGACGACGUGACGAUCUGCAACC